AGAAUCAACGCUGGCGGCGUGCCUAACACAUGCAAGUCGAACGAGAAAGUGGAGCAAUCCACAAGUAAAGUGGCGCACGGGUGAGUAACACGUGACUAACCUACCCUUGAGUGGGGGGAUAACCUAGGGAAACCUGGGCUAAUACCGCAUAAUACCUACGGUCAAAGGAGCAAUUCGCUUAUGGAGGGGGUCGCGGCCGAUUAGUUAGUUGGCGGGGUAAUGGCCCACCAAGACGAUGAUCGGUAUCCGGCCUGAGAGGGCGCACGGACACACUGGAACUGAAACACGGUCCAGACUCCUACGGGAGGCAGCAGUGGGAAUUUGCGCAAUGGGGGAAACCCUGACGCAGCAACGCCGCGUGGAGGAUGAAGUCCCUUGGGACGUAAACUCCUUUCGAUCGGGACGAUAAUGACGGUACCGGAAGAAGAAGCCCCGGCUAACUUCGCGCCAGCAGCCGC
rnacentral:rRNA from 1 species